rnacentral:rRNA from 1 species
GACGAACGCUGGCGGCGUGCUUAACACAUGCAAGUCGAACGGUGAAGCGCUUGCCUUUUUGGUGGGUGUGGAUGAGUGGCGAACGGGUGAGUAACACGUGAGUAACCUGCCCUCUUCUUCUGGAUAACCUCAUGAAAGUGGGGCUAAUACGGGGUAUUCCGGGUCUGUCGCAUGGCGGGUUUGGGAAAGAUUGCGCCUUUGGGUGUUUUCGGUGGGGGAUGGGCUCGCGGCCUAUUAGCUUGUUGGUGGGGUGAUGGCCUACCAAGGCGGUGACGGGUAGCCGGCCUGAGAGGGUGGACGGCCACACUGGGACUGAGCCCCGGCACAGACUCCUGCGGGAGGCAGCAGUGGGGAUUAUUGCACAAUGGGCGCAAGCCUGAUGCAGCGACGCCGCGUGAGGGAUGGAGGCCUUCGGGUUGUGAACCUCUUUCGCCAGUGAAGCAGGCCUGCUCCUGUGUGGGUGGGUUGACGGUAGCUGGAGAAGAAGCGCCGGCUAACUACGUG